rnacentral:rRNA from 1 species
GAGUUUGAUCAUGGCUCAGGAUGAACGCUAGCGACAGGCCUAACACAUGCAAGUCGAACGGUAACAGGGAUUAGCUUGCUAAUCCGCUGACGAGUGGCGCACGGGUGCGUAACGCGUAUACAAUCUGCCUUUAAGCGGGGAAUAGCCCAUGGAAACGUGGAUUAAUACCCCAUAGUCUAUAAACCUCACCUGGAGAUUAUAGUAAACAUUUAUGGCUUAAAGAUGAGUAUGCGUCCUAUUAGUUAGUUGGUAAGGUAACGGCUUACCAAGACGGCGAUAGGUAGGGGUCCUGAGAGGGAGAUCCCCCACACUGGUACUGAGACACGGACCAGACUCCUACGGGAGGCAGCAGUGAGGAAUAUUGGACAAUGGAGGCAACUCUGAUCCAGCCAUGCCGCGUGCAGGAAGACGGCCCUAUGGGUUGUAAACUGCUUUUAUACGGGAAGAACCACAUCUACGUGUAGAUGCUUGACGGUACCGUAUGAAUAAGGACCGGCUAACUCCGUGCCAGCAGCCGCGGUAAUACGGAGGGUCCAAGCGUUAUCCGGAAUCAUUGGGUUUAAAGGGUCCGUAGGCGGGAUAAUAAGUCAGUGGUGAAAGUCUGCAGCUCAACUGUAGAAUUGCCAUUGAUACUGUUGUUCUUGAAUUAUUAUGAAGUGGUUGGAAUGAGUAGUGUAGCGGUGAAAUGCAUAGAUAUUACUCAGAACACCUAUUGCGAAGGCAGAUCACUAAUAAUAUAUUGACGCUGAGGGACGAAAGCGUAGGUAGCGAACAGGAUUAGAUACCCUGGUAGUCUAC